UAUUAGACCCCAACCCCGUUCUCCCCAGUAGUCGCAGCCCCAAGCGCCGCCCCCAGCUGCCCGCCCUCCCCCGUUGUCCUCCGAUCGGAGCUCUGGUUAUGAUCUUUCAUGGAGGUCACCAAUCCCUCGAAUCAAGUCACAAGGAGAAUCACAGCCAAACAUGCUGCAGGUGUUCGACGCGAGGCCUUAAGGAGAAUCGCCGAAAAGAAUCUCAACGCCCUACCUCUUGAUGGGUUCGAUUAUGCCUCCAUUCCCGGUAGGAGUCUCAACGCCUGUCAGACUUUUGAUGGUGUUGGAUGAUACGGCUUAUGUUAACGUUUUGGAUGGGAGGACUUACUACGUGCUGAUUGGGUUCGUCGCAUUGCUUGUUGGCAUUGCGGGCCCAUUGGUUUUGGAUGGGAGGACUUACUACGUGCUGAUGGCCACGACCGAAGGGUGUUUGGUUACGAGCACGAACAGAGGGUGCAAGGUCAUCGGGGAGUCAGGUGGGGCCCAGAGUGUUGUGCUGAGGGAUGGGAUGACUAGGGCCCUGGCAGUGAGGUUUGUGCUUUGUGUGCAAGGCCAUCGGGGCGUCACGUGUCAUGUUUCAUUGUUCAAUUGAUUAUACUAUGUGUUCUUGUGGUUUGGUUGUACUUAGAUGAAAAUUUAAUAAAAUGUAUUGUGUCUAUUUAGUGA